UGCCGCGCGCAAAAUUUUUAAAAUUGCUGUCAAUAAUGAACAGUGCUGUCAGACUUAAGACAGUAUUAACCGUCUCAUUGGAAUGUUGUCAAGACAAAAGUAUUAUACUUUUGAAUUUAAAAUCAGACUUUUAAUAAGCCAUUAUGUAUUUUCAUUUCUGCUGUUUCUCUGCAACGAACUCAGAACGAUGCACCAAGCAUUUUAAAUUGCGCAACAGCACCUAAUUCCUGCAAUCCUAACGGUUGGAAACACAUUUUAGUACGUCUCCACCGGCAUUAUCAUCGGAAGAACAUCACAUUGACAGUGAGUAACAAUGAAGAAAGACAGGUUAAUUUUGAAAAUGAUUGAACAUAUACCUGUUAUAAACCAUUUAUGGGUGACAUUACACUCAACGUCACUCGAUAAAGUAUUCACGACUGCAUAAUCGAUAAAUAAAUUUCGAAAAAAGAAGUCGGCGGAGUUCAUUGCGUGGCGUGCCGCGAACGAGGCGAACAGAGCCACGCGUGGCAAUACAGAAUUGCCAACUGUCAGUCGAGUUGUAGCGUGUUACCACGGGGAUAAUCGAUCAUUCGGAACGGCGAAGGUAUCGGCGCAACGUUCAAGCGGUUGUUUGCGAUUACUUCAGUCAACGACGAUUAGUUGGUAAGGUCUCGACAGUGAACGUCGCAGGGCUUCCGACAUCAAGGGUAAGAGAGUGCAUCAGAUGUUGUAACCAUGUAGAAGGUUUUCUUCAAGUCGGGUUUGCCACUGGCCGGUAAUAUGAACAACGCAACGCGAGAACGGGAAUCAUGUUCACGUAUCCCGGUACGAUAGCGAUUCGAAAAACUGUGAACAAUUGAAUAAAACGGAUAACAAUGUUCGGGUUACGUUCAGUGUGCAUUCAGUUUCGUAAAUUGUGGCAUCGCGGAUAGUUCCUGAGCAAGCGGAAAACGACAUCUGGAAUAGAAAACACUUCCGGCGAGAUUAGACCGUCAAAUCACCGAGCAUGUUUGGUUUGACCGUUCACAUCGGAUUAGGCCAGACGUCGUGAUAAUCAUAAGCCAACUUAGAGUGUCAAUUGGCUAUCGAAAUCAACAACUUCCUGGUAGCUGGAAAGCACCGUGGCAAGUGAUGAAAAAACCAAGUAUCCAGACGCACGUUUACGGAUACGGCCUCAACUUCAAUGAAUUGCUGUGCCAACAUCAGGCUAUCACAGUGGCUAUGAGGAAACGUAAUACGAGUGAUCCUGACGAGAAGAUAUUCUGAUCACUUCUACGAAACUGGUAUUCAUUUCGUAUCCAGAUCAAUAUUUUUCGAUCAAGUUAAAAAGUGACAAUAGUUCACGAUCGUACAAUAACCAAAACUAGAAUUUUUUUCUUUCGGCUCAAGGCUAAAAGAUAGAUAGUGUAUGGCGAAAACUAUACAGUAGGAUCGUUUUGGAAUCUGACUGCAUAAUUAUGAAGCUUAUACAGUGUCGCAUACCUUAAGCUGUUGAUUUUUCGUAUUUAUUCGUCAAGGAUGGAUUAUACAGUUCCGAAGUGUGAAUUGAUUAUUAGCACGGCCGUGAAGCGUUUAUUAGAGGAUUGAGCGAUAGAGAGAUGGAGAGAGAGAGAGAAGGAGACUAAGUCUGAAGUAUGAACACAGUAAUCCUCGGUGAUGAGAAUUUCAAGAUGAGACUGGAGAGAAGACGCCGCGCUAUCGCUCACCGUCAAUAUUGAGAAAAUACGUAAUCACACCGCCAAAAAUUGCCCUCAGCUGUGGCAAGCGAUGUUGUACGUAUAGCUUCUAUAUUCUUGCACAACAUUGACUUUGCCGGGAUUAGGUAUAUAUAACCGCGAGCACCAAUUUCGUGCCCUGAUCGGUCUUGAUCAUCGUCCCAGAUAUCGAGAUUCAUUGUGACAGGCGAAAAUUUGCAAGUCGUGAUAAAACGGUCACGAUUUUCCCAGAAAUAGCUCUCCGAAGAAGAUUUUCAUCUUGUACGAAUAAAUGGUGACCAUAACAAUUUAGUUCGGAUCAAUUUUUCAACUUGGAAUCUCAAGGGUAAUCGAUUCAGUUUUUUGAACGGUCGUUUGUUCGCUUCUCUUGUAAAAUAAAGAUCGACAAACUCGAACGUAUUUCAAAAAUUUUGAACCCAAUUCCUUCACGCCAGCUCUGAUUUGCCUUAUUCGGAAUAGAGAAAUGAGCACUUUUAAAAACAAUUACAAGGUGGCGUUUUUUUAGCAUUGAUCAAAUGACAUAGCGUUUCGUCAUGGUCGUAAGAUACAAGAUAUCGACGUCCUAAGAUUAAAUUUUACGCGUAAGCUCGAUUGGUCGACAUUGCGAAUGUGACUGAAGAAAAUUUGAACUAUAAUGAGAAAAAAAAUAAAUAAAAAAUGGUAAUUCAGAGACCGUUCGAAUUACAUAGUUGCCACACUGUAAUUCUCAUUUACGCCUCAUACCUGCAGUAAGCAGUUGAGUAAAUCCGGAGCUAAUGGAACGUCGGCUACUGUUUCGAACCGUGCAUGCGUACAAAGCGUGUAAAAUUUAAUGAAAAUAAUGGUAAGUAAAUGAUGAAAGAAUGAGUAAAAAGAAACUGACACGGGCGGAAUUAACAACGCAACGUUCGAAUUGCGCAAUCGAUAACGGAACGGGAAUUUAAUACCGUGGUGUUCGUUAGUGCGACGUGCCUGGUGUACCUGCCUAGAUGUGUAAACCUUCCGCAUAGAGGAAGGCGUGAAAUCCUGUAAUUACACUCAGCGGCUAGACGAAAUAGCGAUAGUUUUAAAUACUCGAUAGCAUCGUUCGAACGCCGCAAUUCCUCGGCUCGCCGAUGCUUCGACCAUCGUUUCAGAGAUGGCGCACGAUGUCUGACGACGAACGAAAUCUGGCUGACCACCGUCGAGCUCUCGGUCUCUUCUACUUUUCCUGCUUUGCUGUAGCCCAACGCUCUAUUCGUCAUGUAUUUGUUGAGUUAAAUUUAAACUUCAUUUUGCGUAGCAAAAUUUUUAAUCGUGACGAAAUAAAUCCGCACACUCGUAUUUAACCAUUUCAAAACUGAAUCGAAUCCGGUCGUGGAAAAUUUUUUUCUACCAAUUUCGUUUCCGUAUCUUUCAAUCGAGAUAUCUGAUUUUUUUUUUAGAAUUUUUCCUCAACUUGUAUCAAGCGUUACGUUACACG